rnacentral:lncRNA from 1 species
GGAGAAAGAGGAUGAGAAGAAACUUGUGGUUCUCAUCCCAUCUUUGUGGAACUCUCUUUUUGUGCGAUUGUGCACUUGUUGGGUCCUUUUUCUGUGCACUUGCACUUGUAGAAGUAUUCUGUUGUGCACAUGUAAAAUUAUGUUGAUGUGCCCUUGUUAGGCGUUGAACCUUAAUGCGUGGAGUCGGUGGAUGAUGUAAUGUAUUUGAUCUGAUAUGCUACUGAAAUGAAAUAUAUAUUCUAUUUGCAAUCUUUUAUUAUGUUGUACCUAUUUUUAAUGGACCUUUCCUGAGAUAUGCGUGCUUUGGAUCUGAAAUUUUGAUGAUUCCAUUUGGUCACUAGCAAUGCCAUGUCUCCUACGUGGCUCACACAAAUGGGUAAUGACCAAACCAAAAUUUUGGUCGAUAGAGACCUAUGACCAAAAUUUUAGAAAGGUCAUGUUUGUUCAUUCUUGACGGCCAACUGUUGACGUUGUAAAUUUGGUCAAAAAAAGGUCAAUAAAUGAUAACAAUGACGAAUCAAUGACCAAUGUAGGGAGUCAUGAUUGACCUUAUUUCUUGUAGUGGCAAGCGGGAGCAGAGGCGGCCGGCGGGCGGGGAGGAGGGGUGCCGCGGGAGGGGAAGAGGGGGCGGGGGAGGAGGCGGCCGACGAGAGUUGAGGCGGCCUGCGGGCAGGGGACGAGUGGCUGAGAGAACUGUCGGAGCGGAGGAGACUGGCCAGUGAGAGUGAGAUGGAGAGGGAGACGGCCGUUAGGGGGGCUCUCUUUGCCGUCAGCCCCCCGACGACAAAGAGUAGGAGAUAGGGGGGACGGGGUGGGGAGACGGCCGUUAGGGGGCGGGCUCGCUUUGCCGUCCGCCCCCCGACGGCAAAGAGAAGGAGGGCAGACAGCAAAGGGAGCGCCCGUUAUGGGGUGGGAGGGGGUGUACGGUGGAUUCUUUGCCGUCUGGCUCCUUUUCUUUGUCGUCCGCCAACAGACGACAAAGAAAAGACUUAUGGAAAAGAGUAUCUUUGCCAUCCGUCUGCUCUUUGCCGUCAGUUUUUUGCUGACUGACGGCAAAUAGGGUCCUUGCCGUCCGCUGGCUGAUGGCAAAGUAGGGGCUGACGGCAAAUAACUGAAUUCCAGUGUGAUGACGCUUCGUGCUGUCGUUAGGAGCCUCCGAUUAAGUUGUGGAGAUUGCCCCAACCUUGUUUGUAAAGGACCAGUUGUCGCCUUCAAUUGCACCACUAAUGGAAUCACGACAUUUGCAUUAUGUGGGGCGUGAGGGUAAUACAGUGGCCUUAGUGGCAUCUUGGGAGCAUUGUGGCUCCACACGGGUCCAACGGAGAUGUACUUCCCCUCAAAGUGAAGGAACUUUGGUAACACAUCCUCGUCAUGAGUUCUACUUGUGGUUACUUCUUACCUUUACUUUGUAUUUGUUGCUUGCUUUUUGUUGUUGUUAGCAUCAUAUAUAUAGGUUUCUCACCUACUUGCAUAUCUAGACAACCUAUUACUUGCUAAACUUAAUUUGUUGAAGAAAAGCUAAAAAUUUGUAGUUGCCUAUUCACCCCCUCUAGUCAACCAUAUCGAUCCUUUUAAUUCGUAUCAUAGCUACGUCGUUUGUUAAGGGUUUCACCACCCAAAGAGUAUGGUUAGUGAUGGGGUUAGGGUUGUGAAUUUACAUGUGGCCAUGUGUGUGAACAAGGUCUCACGAGAUUAUUUAAACGAGGCUAUUUUCUUAGUUAAAUCUUCUAUGGCAAUCGAGGUCAAAUCCAUGUUUAAAGAUUUCCUUGAUGGGCUCAAACUCUGUGCCGAUUUGUUGCGGGUGGUUAACCCCACUACUUUGGAUUCAGAUGCAAAUUCGAUAAGAAGCAGGUUAGUAGUGAUAAGAACAAGUUACCUCAAGGAACGAGUCGGGCGGAUACCUUUUCCUUGGUUCCUCCUCCCGUGGUAUAUGAAGGACCGGUUCAGCCACUACAUAUUAAUAACCUUGUUCCUCCUCCUCAACUUGUUAAGACUGAUGUUGCUAAUUUGGUUUUUCAUAUCAAGUCUCAUUUGAAUCACAGCUCAACACAACUUUGGAGAAUUAUUGAGCAAGGAUACUAUCCUGUUGAUCCAAGAAACCUUACUCCAAGAGAAGAGGCCGACAAUCAACUCAAUCACUCCGCCUUGUUCAUACUUCAAGUUGCUGUCCCCCAUUGAAUAUCCUUCUCACUUACGUCCCUUCACUCAUGCUAAGGAUAAUUGGGAACACAUUGUUUCCAUGUACAAGGUAAGCUCGAGUGUUCAGUAGUCUAACUUUGAGGUGAUUAUUGAUGAGGUAGAUGAAUUUGUGAUGCUUGAUGAUGAGGACCAUCCUGAGCUUUAUCAGAGAGUGACAACUCUAGCCGUUGCUCUUCAUCAUGGAAGAAACAUGUGGAUGAUAAUUCCAGCAAGUGUAAUUUUCUCAAUGCCAUCAGGAUAUUCAACAAGGCCAUGUCCUCUAUUAUCCGUCAAAGACGGGACUAACACUCUUUGACCUCAAUCGAUGUGUUGGAUGAUUUCGUUGCCAUGCACAUAUUUAACAUGACCGCAUACAAAGCUAUAGCUCAAGUCUAGCAGUCAAUAAAAUUCUCUCCCAACCUAGCUUUCAAGGUGACGGACGUUUUGGAGGAGGAGGAAGAAGAANGAAGAGGAAGGUUGUCCCGAACACACCAAAUAUGCUUACCACAAGCACUUGGCUCUUGCGUCAAGGCAAUUUGUGGGCAACAAGAGAAAAUCUAGGCCCAAGUCCUCCAAGAACAACUCAAGCCGGUCUAAGGGAAACAAACAUGUGAGGAUUUGCUACAAUUGUGGCAAUGUGGGUCACUUUGUGGUGGAUUGUCUGUAUGAUAAUAGGGAAGACAAUGGUGGCACGCUCAUUCGCAAAAACAAAGCAAAGUCUUUCCCCAAUAAGAACAACUUCUCCAAGAAUAUUUCUCAAAAGAUGUUGGUGGCUCAAGAAGUGUAUUUCUUCGAUGAUUAUGAUGAUGAUGGAAGUGGUGAAGUAAUGGUAAUGGAGAUGGUGGCCAUUGCAUCUUCCUCUCCAACCAAGGUGUCUCUCUCUGACUUCCCCAAUGAGAACCGCAUUGCCAAGUGCCUUAUGACCAAGGCAUCCAACAAGGUAACCUCCUACAUCAAAACUACCAUUUCCACUAUCCCUUCUUCUGGGAUAGCGGAGAUGAAAAAGAGGAGGUAAAAGUGGAGGAAAAUUCAAUUGAUAAAUUCAUGUGAAAAAUCAAGGAUGAAACCAAGAAGCAUUUUGUUGCUCCCUUGGGACAACUAGGUGAGGCUAGUGAUCUCAUUGAGUCUCAUGAAAAGACCAUCUCUCAAUUAGAGGGACAUAGUCACGACAAUGCCGAUGAGAUAGCAAAUCUUUCAAUUUCUGUCGAGCAAGAGUGAGAUCUUUAUUUGACUCUCGAGGAGUCACACAAUGAUGACCAUGCUAAAUUACGAAAAGUCAUGAUCAUGCUCUUGCUCUUUAUCGCAUGCUCCAAUUUGAAAAGGUUGCACUUGGGCUAGACCAUGAUAGACUCAAUGAAGAGUUUGUUACAGUUUACAAGGCUCGGAAGACUUUGAAGAGUGCUCAUGCUUCUCUAAAAGAGUCUCAUGUUCAACUCAAAGUAAAAAUUACUAAGUAAAUAGCCACAUGUUAUCCCUUCAUACUCAUUUAUAAUGUCAAUGCUACUCACCCUUGUUGUGAGCAUGUGCAUCUUGUGGAGGAUAAUGCCAAGUUAGAAGAGAAACUUGAGAGAGUCCCUGUGAUGUGCAUACAAGGACAAAAGAACCUUAAUAACCUUUUGAGAAAUCAAAGCGAAAUGGUUGGAAAGGUAGCAGUUGGGUUUGCACCCAAAUCCAAGAACAACAAGAAAUUCAAGACUAGCCAAACUCCCCCGCUCAAGGAAACCUUUGUCAAAGCCGGGGAGGGUGCUCAAUAUAAGUGGAAGGACAAGAUUCACGCUGGUAAUGCCAAAAAGUGCAAAACCCCUUCGUCCAACAAUGUCAGCGUAUUUAAUCCGUCUUAUGUUUUAUGUCAUGCUAGUGAUGGAUUUUUUUUUUGCAAAAUUUGUUGGUUCUUUUUAUGAAUACAUUGAAUGUUCUAUUUGGGUUCUUAAGACCCUUGUUGCUAACAUGAAAGGAACCAUGAAAGAAUGGGUAUCUUAAUACAAACAUUGAUCUCUUAUAGGAGUUUGCUUCAGGGGGAGUGUCAUGGUUUCUUGAUAUUGGAGCAACAAAUCAUAUGACUGGAAGCAAGGACUUGGUGGUGGACGCUAAUUCCGAUCCAUCGUGGCCACUCAAGUCUCCUUUGCUGAUAACGUGAUUUCAAAGAUACUGGGUCUUCGAAACGUGGUAAUCUCUUCGGAUUAUCCUUUGAGAAUUUCAUCCUUGUUGAGAGCCUUGCAUACAAUUUACUUUUCUGGUCAUUUGUACCUUCUUUGGUGUCAACACCGUGGCCCUUUUCUGGAGCAAGACUCAUAAAAUAUCCUUUUUUGGGCAUGUCAAGAAUGGUCUCUUUAUGGUUAACUUUUUGGAGCGACCCACUAAGAUCUCGACUUUUUGAAUGUCUAAAUUUGAUGUGGGAUCAGUUUGGCAUCGCCGGCUAUUCCAUGUCAAUAUGAGAUCUUUGCAAAAUCUCCUCAAAGGGGAUCGCGUUCGUGGACUGACAAAUGUGAGUUUUGCCAAAUAUCAUGCUUGUAGUGCUCGUAUCAAAGGAAAGCUUCAUGGGACAUAUCAUCAUCCCACUACUACUAUCUACUCAAAAAGGACCUAGGAUUUACUUCACAUGGAUGUCUUUGGUCCUCCCUAUUUAGAUAGUCUUGGGGUAAGAAGGUAUUUCUUGGUUAUAGUGGACGAUUAUUCAAGAUAUACUUGGGUAUACUUCUUCAGUAGGAAGAGUGAGAACCAACAAACUGUCAUCGACUUUGCUAAUGAAGCUCAACGUCAGUAUGAGGCAAAGAUAUUGAUGAUAGAAGUGAAAAUGGCACCGAAUUCAAGAACUACUCCUAGGAUGAGUUUCUUAGUGGUGAGGGGAUCAAGCACCAAUACUCCGCACCAUAUACCCCUCAACAAAAUGUUGUCGCGGAAAUGAAGAACCGUACGUUGAUGGACGCGUGACACGUCUUCAACGUAUCUAUAACUUUUUAUUGUUUGAUGAUGAUAUAUUAUCAUUAUAGGAUACUUUUGGUGUAUUUAUUUAAAAAAUUAUAUUAUUUUUGAGAACUAUCCUAUUGACCCAGUGCCCACUACGAGUUGAUUUUUUUUGCGAGUAUUUCACUUUUCAGGGUUUCCAUAGCAAACGAUGUCCAAUUGCCCUCAAACUUUUUGGUGAUUUUUUCUAGACCAAAAGAAGACCAACGAGCAUCAAAAGAAGGCUGGAGACCUCAAGAGGGGCCCACAAGCGAACAAGGUGCGCCUUGAUGGCUUGUCCCUCCCUCAUGGCCCACCCAACUCCGUUCUUUGGCUUAUAAAUUCCCAUCUACCCUAAAAACACCAGGGGGAGUCCCGAAACACUUUUUACGCUGUCGCAAGUAUCUCUUCAAAUGAGAGGCCAUUUGGAGCUCCAUUCUGACACCUUGCCGUAGGAGGAUCAAUCAUGGAGGGCCUCUUCGUCAACCUUGCUUCCCUCACGAUGAUGUGUGAGUAGUUCACCACAGACCUACAGGUCGAUAGCAAUACCUAGAUGCAAUCUCUCUCCUUGAUCUUCAAUACAAUGAUCAUCGCAUCUUUGCUUUGAUUCAUAUGAUGUAAUUCCUUUUAUGUUGUGUAGUUAUUGGGAUCCGAUGAAUUGCGGGUCUAUGUUCACAUUAUUCAUGAUAAAUAUUUGAGUCUCCUCUGAAUAAUUAUAUGAUUCUUUUGUGCAUGAUUAUGAUAGUUUCCUAAUUCUCUCUGAUCUGUUAAAAUAGUUUGGCCAACUAGAUCGAUAUUUCUUCGAUGAGAGAGCUUCAGUAUGGUAGGUUCAACCUGGAGAAGGAGACAAGAUGCAUCUUUGUGUUGAUUCUACUAAGGAUAAAACAACGGGAUUUAUUCAUAUUUCUUGAAUUUACUUUGUCUACAUCAUGUCAUUGUUCUCCGUGCAUUCUCUAUUUUACUUAAAACUCUAGAUGCAUGCUGGAUAGCAGUCGAUGAUUGGAGUAAUAGUAAUAGGUGCAAGCAGGAGUCAGCCUAUUUGUUUAAGGACAUGAUGCCUAUACACACAUGAUUAUUGACGUGAAUAUUGCAUAACUAUCCUCUUUUCUAUCAAUUUCCCAAUAGUAAUUUUUUUACCCACUGUAUAUUAUUUUUCAUAAGAGAUGUCAUUAGGGAAAGUUAUGCCCCCUAGGACUAUUCACAACAUACUGAUAAAACAUUCAUUAGCUUGCUGCUAUUUACUUGUUUUAUUUUAUCUUUCUAUCUAAAAUUAUCUGCGCAUAUACCUUGCUUGCAAAUAAAAAGACACGAGGACUGACAACCCUCUUGCUUGCAUUUGAUGCAAGUUAUUUGUUCUUUUGUCUGCAACCGUUGAACACAAUUGUGGUAGAUAUUCCUAUUGGUUCGAUAAACCUUGUUUUCAUAACUGUGGGAAAUACUUAUCCACAUUUGGCUGCGAUAACCCGUUCAUGUUCACAGAAAACACAAUGAAGAUCAAAAGUAUCAACACGUAAAAGGACAACUUUUGGGCCAAAGCCAUCUACACCGCAUGUCAUGCAUCUAAUCAUCUCUACCUCCACAAAGACUUGAACAAGACUCCCUACGAAAUUCUAACCGGGAAGAAUCCCAACCUCUAAUACUUCCGGGUGUUCUAUUGUAUGUGUUUAAUUCUCAAGAAAUUUGCUCGAUAGUAUAAAUUUGAAACCAGAUCUGAAGAGGGCAUAUUUAUUGGUUAUGCUACAAAAUCUCAUGCUUACUGUGUCCUCAAAAAGUCUACUGGACUCAUUGAGGGGAGUGUAACAUGGAGUUUGAUGAAAAUAAUGGCUCCCAAGUGGAGCAAAGUGCUGUUUGUGAUGAAAUUCCUCCCCAAGCCAUAAGAAGAAUGUGUGUGGAACACUUCCUACCCGUUGAGGAACCCCUUGUGGCCGAAGGAGUAGGACAAUGUUCCAUAGAAGUUGAACCAUCACUAAUGCAAGACCCACAUCCUUUCGAAGAACAAAGUGAAGGCCCUAAACCAAGUGAGCAAUAUCAAAGGCAAGAUCAACGUCAUGAUGAUGGUGUUACCCCAAGUGGUGCCCAAGGUCAAGUUCACCCCCCCGAGCAUGCUCAAAAUCAAGUGCAAGCUCAAAAUCAAGCGCUAGCUCAAGGUCAAGAGCAAGCUCACAAAGGCUCACAAGGUAGUAAAAAGGUUGCUCCUCAACUCUUCAUGGAGGAUAUUCUAGAAAGAUGAGUCACCAAUAUUGCUUCCAAGAUUAAUCAUAAACAACAUAUUUUGGAGAAAGUCUAUGGAAUCUUGAAGAAAGGUUAACUACUCACCAUUAAUUAACAAACUUUUGUUCACAACAUGCAACAUUUCUUGCAUUGGACCCAUAAAGGUACAAGACAUGCUGGAGGACCUGGAGUGGCUUGAAGCCAUGCAUGAACUUAACAACUUUGAGCGCAACGAAGUGUUGUGGUUGGUGCCAAGACCAAGAGGGAACCACAAUGGCAUGGGAACCAACUGGAUCUUUAAGAACAAGCAAUAUUCUAACAAUGUUGUCAUUCACAACAAGGCGAGAUUAGUGGCACAAGGCUACUCCCAAGUCGAGGGUAUCGACUACGGUGAAACCUUUCCUCCCAUUGCUCACCUUGAAUAUAUUUGCAUGUUGCUUGCAUAUGCCUCUCAUCAUAAUUUCAAAUUAUAUCAAAUGGAUGUGAAGAGUGCAUUUCUUAAUGGUCCUUUUAAGGAGUUGGUAUAUGUCAAGCAACCCCCAGGGUCCGAGGAUCCCAAGUUCCCCAAUCAUGUAUGCAUGAUCGAUAAGGCACUCUAUGGCCUUAGACAAGCCCCACAUGUGUGGUAUGAGCACGUUACAGAGAUGUUGCAAGAUGGUGGGUUUGAAAUUGGGAAAAUUGAUCCCUCUUUUUUCAUGAACAAGGUUAAAUGGAACUUUUUCAUAUGCCAAUUAUAUGUUGAUGAUAUUCUCUUUGGUUCUCCUAACAAAGGUUUUUAUGUAGAGUUUGCCGCUCUAAUGACCGAAGAGUUUGAUAUGUCUAUGAUGGGAGAGUUGAAGUUCUUCCUUGGAUUUGAAGUCAAGCAACAAAGUCAAGGAACCUUCAUCAACCAAGAAAAAUACACUCAAGAAAUCCUUAAGAGGUUCAAGUUGGAUGAACUCAAACCGGCCUAGGCAAACAGUCCCAUGCCACUCACAUGCCAACUUGACAUCUGUCCAAAUGGUAAAUUCAUGGAUUGAAAGGUAUUUCGCUCCAUGAUUGGCUCUUUUAUUUACCUUUGUGCAUCUAGACCGGAUAUUACAUUGAGUGUGGGAAGUUGUGCACGAUUUCAAUCGGCACGUAAAGAAAGCGACUUUGUGCGGUCAAGCAAAUCUACCCCAAACUUUGGCUUAUGGUCCCCACAGGAGCUUCAUUUUAUUAUAGGAUAUUCGGACUCGGAUUGGGUGGGAGACCAUGUGGAGAGGAAGUCAACUUCUGGAGGUUGCCAAAUACUUGGUCGCUCUUUGGAAAGUUGGUCUUCAAAGAAAAAAAAUUAUGCUUCUCCCUCGUUCACUGAGGCCGAGUAUGUAGCUGCCACAGGUUGAUGUGCUCGGUUACUUUGGAUGAGGAAAACUUUAAAUGAUUAUGGUCUCACUUGAUACAAGGUGCCUCUUUAUUGUGACAACGAAAGUGCAAUUCAUAUCUCCAAAAACUAGGUUCGACACUACAAAACAAAGCACACAGAGAUUUGUCAUCACUACAUCCAGAAUCAUAUGAAGCGUGGGUAGAUUUAUCUUAUUCACCUCAACACUAAUGAACAACUUGCCUAUAUUUUCAUGAAGCCAUUGGAUGAAGCAAGAUUUCGUGAGUUAAGGCAUGACCUAAAUAUGAUUGAUUCGAGCAAUGUGGAUUGAAGUUCGGCACACCCCACCACUCUCAUCGUAUUAUCCUGUUUAGAUGUAGGCAUAUAUUUAGGGGAGUGUUGUUCUCUCAAUGAACUCUAUCUCCCCCUAUUUUGCGUAAAACGAUCAAGCGUUUCACAUUAGUCAUUUUUAAUGACACUUGUGCUUCAAAGAUUCGUUUUGUUCCUGGGCCCAAGGUUAAAAUAUUCAUGGUGUCAUACCAAUUGACUCAAACAAAGGUGGCUUCGGCCACCGCCCCCUCCUAGUGAGGCAUUUACUUUUGAGAGCUUGUUCGUGUGUAGUGUCACUCCAAGUUUUUCUUUCUUCGUGUUUGAACUCUUUUAAUUUGGAGUGUAUAUUCUUGUAUUGGAUGUUUUUCGGAGUCUCCUUCUCUUGUUUUAUCUAUUUCUCAAACUCAUUAGUUACAUAGGUCUUGUUCUCUUUUGUUGAUGAGCUAUUUUUGGACGCAAGCGAUACCUCCGAUCUCAGGCUAGUACUACCACUUCAAGGACUCCCAGAGGGUUCAAGUUGUGGGUAGGGGGGUUCUAUCUCCCCCAUACCCAUUAACUUUCCCCCCUUUUAGUUUUCCCUUUCUCUGGCAAAAAAGAACUCUCACAGAGGCUGAUACGUCCAUUUUGCAUCAUGGUUUCACGUUGAUAUUUAUCGCUUCUUGGGCUGUUAUUUCACUUCAUGGUACAAUUCUUAUGCCUUUUCUCUCUUAUUUUACAAGGUUUACAUGAAGAGGGAGAAUACCGGCAACUGGGAUUCUAGCCUGAAAGUGGAGAAAGUUUGAGAUACCUAUUCUGCGCAACUCGAAACGCCGUAAAAAUCAACUAGGAUUUUUUUCCCGAUUUAUCAAAAAUACUGGGCCGAAGAAGUGCCAGAGGGGGGCGUGCAGGUGGCCACAAGCCUGCACGGCGCGACCACCCCCCAGGCCGCGCCAUGAGGGCUUGUGGCCACCCUGCAGGUCCACUUGCCCCCCUCUUUUGCUAUAUGAAGGGUGUCGUCCACAAAAAAAAGGCGGAGCUUUUUCGUGGUUUUCGCCGCCACCACAAGGAGGAACUUGAGUAGAACAAAUCUAGAGCUCCGGCAGAACGAUCCUGCCAGGGAAACUUUCCUCCGGAGGGGGAAAUCGUCGCCAUCGUCAUCACCAACAUUCCUCUCAUUGGAGGGGACUCGUCACCAUCAACAUCUUCUCCAGCACCAUCUCAUCUCCAAACCCUAGUUCAUCACUUGUAAUCAAUCUCCGUCUCGCGACUCCGAUUAGUACUUGUAAGGUUGCUAGUAGUGUUGAUUACUCUUUGUAGUUGAUCCUAGUUGGAUUACUUGGUGGAAGAGUUUAUGUUCAGAUCCUUGAUGCUACUCAUUACCUCUCUGGUCAUGAAUAUGAUUAUUCUUUGUGAGUAGUUACUUUUGUUCCUGAGGACAUGGGAUAAGUCAUGCUAAUAGUAGUCAUGUGAAUUUGGUAUUCGUUCAGUAAUUUGAUAUGUUGUAUGUUGUUUUUCCUCUAGUGGUGUUAUGUGAACGUCGACUACAUAACACUUCACCAUUAUUUGGGCCUAGAGGAAGACAUUGGGAAGUAGUAAGUAGAUGAUGGGUUGCUAGAGUGACACAAGCUUAAACCCUAGUUUAUUUGUUGCUUCGUAAGGGGCUGAUUUGGAUCCACUAGUUUAAUGUUAUGGUUAGACUUUGUAUUAAUUCUUCUUUCGUAGUUGCGGAUUCUUGAGAGAGGGGUUAAUCAUAAGUGGGAUGCUUGUCCAAGUAAGGGCAGUCCCCAAGCGCCGGUCCACCCACAUAUCAAACUAUGAAAGUAACGAACGCGAAUCAUAUGAACUUGAUGAAAACUAGCAUGACAGAAAUUCCCGUGUGUCCUCGGGAGCGUUUUUCCUCCUAUAAGACUUUGUCCAGGCUUGUCCCUUGCUACAAAAGGGAUUGGGCCACUUUGCUGCACCAUUUCUAUUUUGUUACUUGUUGCUUGCUACGAAUCAUCUCGCGACAUAAUCACUUGUUACCGACAAUUUCUGUGCCUGCAGAUUUUACCUUGCUGGAAACCACUUGUCAGAUCCUUUUGCUCCUUGUUAGGUUCGACACUCUUACUUAUUCAAAGGAAUACGAUUGAUCAACUAUACUUGUGGGUCAUAAAGACUCUUUUCUGGCGCCGUUGCCGGGGAGUGAAGUGUCUCUGGUAAGUGGAACUUGGUAAGGAAACAUUCAUAUAGUGUGCUGAAAUUUGUUGUCACUUGUCACUAUGGAUAUUAAUACUUUCAGGGGCUUGUUCAGGGUAUCUUCACCUCGAACGGAAGCACAAAGUGUUGCUCCUCAACCUGCUGCACCUACUGAAAAU